rnacentral:rRNA from 1 species
GAUGAACGCUGGCGGCGUGCCUAAUACAUGCAAGUCGAGCGAAUGGAUUGAGAGCUUGCUCUUAUGAAGUUAGCGGCGGACGGGUGAGUAACACGUGGGUAACCUGCCCAUAAGACUGGGAUAACUCCGGGAAACCGGGGCUAAUACCGGAUAACAUUUUGAACCGCAUGGUUCGAAAUUGAAAGGCGGCUUCGGCUGUCACUUAUGGAUGGAUCCGCGUCGCAUUAGCUAGUUGGUGAGGUAACGGCUCACCAAGGCAACGAUGCGUAGCCGACCUGAGAGGGUGAUCGGCCACACUGGGACUGAGACACGGCCCAGACUCCUACGGGAGGCAGCAGUAGGAAAUCUUCCGCAAUGGACGAAAGUCUGACGGAGCAACGCCGCGUGAGUGAUGAAGGCUUUCGGGUCGUAAAACUCUGUUGUUAGGGAAGAACAAGUGCUAGUUGAAUAAGCUGGCACCUUGACGGUACCUAACCAGAAAGCCACGGCUAACUACGUGCCAGCCGCCGCGGUAA